rnacentral:sRNA from 1 species
GCUAGGUGUGGUGGUGCAUGCCUGUAACCCCAGGGACUUGGGAGGCUGAGACAGGAGGAUCAUAAGUUCAAGGCCAGCUUCAGCAACUUAGCAAGGCUCUCAGAAACUUAGUGAGAACCUGUCUCAA